rnacentral:rRNA from 1 species
ACAAGCGGUGGAGUAUGUGGUUUAAUUCGAUGCAACGCGAAGAACCUUACCUGGUCUUGACAUCCCGGAGACCCUUAGGAAACUAGGGGGUGCUUCCAUCUGGAAGAAUCUGGAGACAGGUGCUGCAUGGCUGUCGUCAGCUCGUGUCGUGAGAUGUUGGGUUAAGUCCCCGCAACGAGCGCAACCCUUGCCUUUAGUUGCCAGCAGUUCGGCUGGGCACUCUAAAGGGACUGCCGGUGUUAAACCGGAGGAAGGUGGGGAUGACGUCAAGUCCUCAUGGCCUUUAUGACCAGGGCUACACACGUACUACAAUGGCCGAUACAAAGGGCAGCGACACUGCGAGGUGAAGCCAAUCCCGUAAAAUCGGUCUCAGUCCGGAUUGGAGUCUGCAACUCGACUCCAUGAAGUUGGAAUCGCUAGUAAUCGUGGAUCAGCAUGCCACGGUGAAUACGUUCCCGGGCCUU